rnacentral:rRNA from 1 species
UACGGAGGGGGUUAGCGUUGUUCGGAAUUACUGGGCGUAAAGCGCACGUAGGCGGAUUAGAAAGUUAGAGGUGAAAUCCCAGGGUCAACCCUGGAACUGCCUUUAAAACUCCUAGUCUUGAGUUCGAGAGAGGUGAGUGGAAUUCCAAGUGUAGAGGUGAAAUUCGUAGAUAUUUGGAGGAACACCAGUGGCGAAGGCGGCUCACUGGCUCGAUACUGACGCUGAGGUGCGAAAGUGU